rnacentral:lncRNA from 1 species
AAACUCUUUGAUCAAUGUUUAAUAUAUUCGUUGCCAUCCAGGACACUUUCCCUGUAUUAGAAGAACUGACACUGAAGACGAAUGAUAUGGUGAAGGGGAUAUGUGAUGGACAGCUCUCAUUGCAGUGUUUCCAAAACCUUAAACUUCUUAACCUCCAAUUCUUUCGUGAGGCAUCCACUACUCUUCCAUAUUCAUUCAUUCGGUCACUACCAAUGCUUCAUAAGCUUGUUAUAGACAAUGCUUCCAUUUGUCAAAUAGUACAAUCUGAAGGACUCAGCGACGAGGAAAGGCAUACAUCAGCAUUCUAUCAGCUAAAGGAAUUAAGUUUGUUUCAACUUCCAGAGUUGACGUUAAAGACUUUUGAACCAUCUUUGCUGUCUUUCAAAAAUCUAACAACACUGGAAGUUUCAAGAUGCCAUGGGUUCAUCAAUUUAGUCGCAUGCUCUACAGCUAAGUGCCUGAGGCUACUAGAAAGAUUGAGUAUAGAUGAUUGUGAGAAGAUAGAGGAAAUCAUAGCGUGUGAGGCUGAAGAAAUUCAAGGCGGCAUUGUAUUUCCCAAACUGAAGUAUUUGCAGCUAAGUUGUCUGCCAUGUCUAGCAAACUUUUCCUUGGCCCAUCACUCGUUGGAAUUCCCAGUCUUGCUAAUGGUGAUGGUGACAAAGUGCCCCCAAAUGAGGAGUUUCUGCCAAGGAGAUUUAAGCACACCAAGGCUGGAACAAAUGCACUUAACAAGAGAUGAGGAAGGUGAACUGCAGUGGAAGGGCGACCUUAACACUACCAUAAAACAUAUGUUCGAUGAAAUGGUACAAAUCAUUUAAAGGAUUUAAAUUCAUGUGUUUUUACAUACAUACAUACAUACAUACAUACAUACAUACAUACAUACAUACAUACAUACAUACAUACAUACAUACAUACAUACAUACAUACAUACAUACAUACAUAGUUAAUUGAACAAUUCUUGGUUUGUUAUGAUCAUGCACAGAAUGUGCAAAAUUCUGAGGUGACGGAGGUUACUGAUCGGUCGCCCAAGCUGGAAUAAGGAAAUAAGUUUGGGUGCGUAUGCGAAAUGCUCAAUUUCGUUUGAAUUCAAAACAAAUGGUAAUUCAUCUUCUAUUUUCAUCAUGGCUUAACUAAUGCUUUAUAAAGUGACCAUAGAGACGCCCUUUUCAUUGUAGGUUGAGUUGCUCUACUGAAGUACGAGGCUGCAACUUUUGGUAAAAUGUGAAAGGUUAUUUCAGUUUUUGUAAAACUACUAUUUGAACUGUUCCAUUUCACAUUAUACCCUCAAAAUUGAAUUUCAAGUGCAUCAUGCAUGGCAUUGGGCUACAAACAUGUAAACUUUUACUAGUAAGGUUGACCCCUGUUUUAAGGAUUUGCCAACUUUUGAUGGUUACCAUAUCAAUGUCAGCUUAAAGCUAUCAAGUAUCUUUACAAAUAUAAUAUAUAUUAUUCCUUAAUGAGGGAUAAAAGUAGGCAAUUAUCUACUAAUGAUACGGCUGAUUCUGAAAAGACGGCCGAAAUUGAAUCAAUGGGUUGUUGGUAUUUGCCUGAUGGAAGAACAGGGCCUAAUGUUAAGUGGAUUCUGAUCAAGUUUUAAAUUUUCAGUUGUAGGCUUUAUUGAUUGUUGCCAUUUGGUUGUUGAUCCUCUGAUUUUACGAUUGACUGUCUCGCUUAUACGUUGCAAGGUUGGCAGGUCUCAAGUAUGAAUUUCCAAGCCGGCCUUCAUCCAUAAUUAACCAAGUGUUCCAAUCCAUGGAGUUUAUGGUUUAUGGUUUAUUAGUGUAACUGUCCAUUUGGUUAUGGAUUGGUUCUUAAGGUGUUUUGAUGCUUUGUAUGUUACAGUGUUUGCUCCAAGCAACACGCUUUAAUUUCUAAUGAAUUUUAUUUGUUGAGGGAAAAAAAUAUGAGGAUUAAUCUGAUAUUUUUAUUUGUAUAUUUUAUAUCCAUUUUAUAAUUCAUAUUUGAGAUUUGUAUUAUGCCCUUAAUAUUUCAUUAUUUAUUGUCUAUGUUACUCAUUGUUGCAAAAAAGAAAAAAAAACAAACACAGUGCAUGCAUAAACCAUAAAAAAAAACAUAAGCAACUAAUAAUGAAAUAUAUUAAAAUGAAGAAUGGCAAUUGAUUUCAGAAUUACCCCAAUUUCGGUAAAUACAUUAAAACAUAUGUCUCUACUCGAUUUCAAUUUCGAAAUUGAAAAAAUUGGUAUUUCUAAAAAUAUCUAAGUUAUUCAAUUAUUUCUAUUUUUGAAAGUGAUAAAUUAAGGACAAUUAAUCACAACGUUAAUAUUUUUCAUCAAUUAUACAUAGUUUUCUUGGUAUAAUGAUAAAUUUAGCCCUCAAAGUUUACACAUUCUAUCAAAUUGUCAUCGAUUUAAAAAAUUUAACCCACAACAUUUACACAUUUCGUCAAUUUAAUCAUGAUUUAACAUAUUUAACCCGUAAUAAUUACACAUUCUAUCAACAUUUACGCAAAAUAUACAAUCAUCAAGGAUUAAAUUUAUUUUUAUACUAAUAAAAAAUAUGUAUAAUUAACAUAAACUAUUGGCGCUUGAUUAAUUGUUCGUGGUUACUUUCAAAAUUGAUAAGGAUUAAUUGUUCGUGGUUACUUUCAAAAUUGAUAAGGAUUAAACUAUUCUAUUUCUUUUAGAGUGACCAAUUUGUUCAAUAUCAAAAAAAUAUUUUUUAUUUUUUUUAAUUUCAUAGGUAAGAAAAUCUCAAAUCACACAAUUAUUAUUUUUCCUUCCAUACCCCUAUGCCACCGAAGAAAAUUUACAAUGUCACACAAUUUGGCUUUAAACCCUUAAAAAAGAGUUGAAUUUAAUCAUCAAUUUUUUAAAAAGAAUUAAAUUAUUAUUUAACGGAAACAAUAAAUUUUGAAAUACAUAUAAUAAUUCACGCGUAUUUCAUAUAUAUUUUUAAUUUUUAUGAUUGUAAUACCAAUUUUUUCUGCCCGGGCCUAUACAAAAUAAAAUACAGCAGGCCCAUCUACAGACCAAACCCAUAUUCAAAAAAAACCUAGCCUAAGAAGCAGCAAGCUUCAGCCGCAUGCCCAACAGCAGCCUCCCUAACUGCCGUCGCAUCCUCCGCGCACGUACACCUCUUCCACGGCCUCCAUACCUACGAGAAAAGCGGAUCCAAACAGCAAUAGACGCAACAAAUAAUGAAAUAGGAUUUUUUACUUUUAUUUUGCUGUAAUUUUGGCUAUAAAAAGCCAUCAAAAAUCUGUAAAAUGGGGGGAACCAAUAUUGUAUUGAGAGAAUACUGAAAUACAAAAAUAGGGAGAAAAUAUUGAGAUUACAAAGAGAUUUUUGAAGGUGAAUCGUGUUUAUUUUUUUCCAUUUUUUCCAUUCUUUUUUAUUUUAUUUUUUAUUUAUUUUUAAUUUAAAAUAUAAAGAAGGGAGGAAGGACUUACCUCUCUCGCCGGAUUCGUAUAUAUAUUUAUAUAUAUAAAAAAUAUUUCUCUAAUACAUAUACAUAUUUUUAUAUAUAUAUUGUUAUUAUUUCUUUUUUAGCUUUUAUAUACAUAUAUACGUAUAUACAUUUAUAUUUCUAUUAUAUUUAUAUAUACAUUCUUUUAAAAUUAUUAUAAACAUUUUAUUGUUCUACACAUUCCAUUAUUUUCAUAUUGCACCUAUAUAUAUAAGUAUCUAAAUAAGUACAUAUUUUCAUGAUUGACCUACUUAUAUACUCAUACAUUUUUAUUUUGUAAAUAUAUGCACGUAUACAUAUGUUUUUUUAUUUUUAUCUUCACAAUUUUCACAUACAUAUGUACAUGCAUAUUAUUAUAAGUUUUGUUUUGUAUAUUUCAUUCCCUUUUAUGUACACUUAUAUUUUUUAAAAUGUAUGCAUAUACAUGUUUUCAAAAUUCAUUUAUGCUUUAUACUUAUAUUUUGAAAACACAUAUAUACAUAUAAUUUAAAUUAAAAUAUUUGUAUCAUAUUGUACAUUACCUUUUUAACGUACCCUUUUUGAAAAUAUGUUUUGGUUUUAACCAUACAUCAAAGUUAUUUUCUCGCUCCAAAGGUUUUUUUUUUUGAAUAAAAGCAAUGUUCGAAGCUUGAGAUUUUCGAGGGAAAUUGAGCCCUAACGUAUUGGGUUCAGAUUUUCUUUGUUAAUCUUAAAUAACCGAGGAUAUUCUUUAUUCAAAAUGCAUGAGCAUAAAAAUCAUUUUUGGGAACUUAACUUGUCGUGCCCUAACGUAUUGGGUGUGGCAUGUUACUUUCUCGAAAUAAAUAUUUUCGCAUGAAAUAAAAGUGAUAUUCAAAGUUCGGGGAUUAUGAGGAAUUGUACCCUAACGUAUUGGGACUCGAUUUCUUUACAUGACUUGAACAAUUUGUUAUCCUUUUACAAAUUUCAUCAUUCAAGCUUAUUUUAAAAUCUUUUUAACUUUCGACACUAAGACAUUAAAUGAUCAAUUUGGUACCGAUUUUGGGCGUCACGAGGGUGCUAACCCUUCCUCGUGCGUAACCGACUCCCGAACUCGUUUUCUCAAAAUUCGUAGACCAAAAUAAUUUUUAAGGUGACCCGAUCACACCUUAAUAAAAGAUCGGUGGCGACUCCAGUUUUGUUUUAAAAGUCGACAACUAAAAUUUUUGUUUUUCAAAAAACGGUUUCGACAGCUUGGCGACUCCACUGGGGACACUAAAGAGUCGAGCCAUAAAUUGGUUAUUUGUUCGUCUUGUGAUCGAAAAUCAAAUUUGGGUUUUAAAAUCAUGAUUUCCCUUCAUUUUUUUUACCAUGGAAUGUUGGUAACCUUGCAUUUGCAUUUUGCAUUUUACCCUUAAGUGGGAGCGAGAAACUAGUCCUUCGUGAGGUUUUCACCUCCGUGCAGGGUAAUGGACCGCUUCCGGGAUACAUCCGUACCUAUGUCUUCGUGAGAUUUUCAUCUCCGUGUAGCCAUAGGGAAAUGUGUCCCCCUGAACCGAACUCGAUCCACAUGAGCCUAUAAUGGGUGAGGAUCGAGGAAUCUGCUGGUCGGGUACCUUUACUCUAGAAACUAAACCUCAUAUAGUGAGCUUUAGGAACUUACCUUAGGUAGAAGUACUCUAAACCUUAGGAGAUACCUGACUAGGAGUUUUUAUUAUUUCUUGCUUAUAUUGGAUUUAAUGUUUAUACCCGAUACUAACUCGUUGCAUUUUGUUUUGAUUGCAUGACAUCAUGAUCGCAUUGCAUUUUCAUCAUAAAAGAGGUGUUGAUUCACGUUCGGUUGUUAAUAGAGAGCUUGUCAUAAGGAAAUGGGUUUCUUGAUAAAAUAGAAAAUAAUACGGUUGCCCGAAUAUGUUCCGAGAAAACACAACAAGAGAAAGAUGAUAGUUUAAUGGAGGACUACAUAACCAUUGCUUCGUUGCCCGAAGACUCAAGCUGAUGAAGGCUAUUCGAGAGCCGCUGAACUUUUUGUUUAAGGGAAGCCAACGAGCAUCACGACGAUAAAGGAGCAACGAAGAACAGUCCGGAUCAAGUAAAAUGGAGAUAGAAGAGACAUCUAUUUUGAAGAAUUCACAAGAUUUAUCUUAGCAUCCAGAUGAAGAAGGAGAAGAUGUCCUCGCUUGGAGCAUGAGGGCAAAGCCGUAUAUAUAUAUCUGCUUUAUGUAAAGAAAUUUAUCUUCUAGAAAAGUUUUCUAAAUAGAAUUGAAUCAGAAUCAACGUCUCUUUUUGCAUUCAUCAAAUGCAUUUGCAUUACAUAGCAUCAUAUGCAUUAAAAUCCAUUGAAAGAGCCUAAUUAAUUAAAAUUAUUGCUUAGUUAACCUGGAAACCAACCAACCAACCCGACACCGAUACGGCACUCGAGCAAAGACAAAAGAUAUGGAUCAGAGAUUAGAGAAGCUCGAACAGUACCAGAAGGAGAUGCAAGACCGGCUUCAGCUACAAAUGCAGGAACGGUUAGACAAGAUGAAACAGGAGAUGUCUGAGAAGAUGCGGAAUCUCAAGAGGACAUAGUGGCAAAGUUAACCCGAUUGAUAACUAAAGGAGGUGAUAAAGGAAAGGGCCCCAUGGCAGAUGUCGAUGAGGGAAAUGAUGAUGAACUUUUCUAUCCUCCAGGUUUCAUCCCUCCACAUGAGCGAACUCAAGCUGAAUACCCGUGCAAAUCUACUGUCACCAUCAUGCCUCAGCAAUUUCGAGCUGGUAUUUCGAACCACCAAACUGGGCCGAGCUUUAAUCCUGAAAAUAAUCCUAUUAACUCUGCCAUUCCUGACUUUGAUGAAGUGGUUGAGAAGGAAAGAAUGAAGGAAAAGUUACCGAAACAGUUGGAAGAAAGAUACAGGUGGCUCGAAGAGAAGUUCAAGGCGAUGGAAGUCACUGAAAGUUAUCGAGGCAUUGACGCAAAAAAGCUGAGUUUAGUGCCAAAUUUAGUACUCUCUCAUAAAUUUAAGAUGCCUGAAUUUGAAAAGUACAAUGGGACAAGCUGCCCAGCAGCUCACAUCACCAUGUUCUACAGGCAAAUGGCUGGAUACGUUAACAAUGACCAACUAUUGAUACACUGUUUCUAAGAUAGCCUAGCAGGGGCAGCAUCUAAGUGGUACAAUCAGUUGAGUCGUGCCACGGUUGGUUCAUGGAGGGACUUGGCGCAAGCAUUCAUGAAACAAUAUAGUCAUGUGACAGAUAUGGCUCCUGAUAGAAUCACCCUUCAGAAUAUGGAGAAGAAGCCGAGCGAAAGCUUUAGGCAGUAUGCACAGAGAUGGAGGAAGGUCGCAGUCCAAGUUCAGCCACCACUCUUGGAAACGGAAAUGGCCAUGCUAUUCAUUAACACCCUAAAAGCACCUUUCAUCACACAUAUGUUAGGAAGUGCCACAAAAAGCUUUCCUGACAUAGUCAUGAAUGGUGAAAUGAUUGAGAGCGCUAUAAGGAGCGGGAAAAUUGAGACAGAUGAGAGUAAUAAGAGGUCAAUCUCAAGAAGAAGAGAAAAUGAGGUGGACAACACGGGUUACUCUAAAUCAGUUACUGUGAGUCAAACAAGAAAGGUGGUUGGUAAUCAACAGAAUUCAUCGAGGCAAGAUUCCGGCAUAAAGACUGAGAGGCCCCAAUUCACGCCAAUUCUGGUACCGUAUAAGGAACUGUAUCAAAAUUUGUUUGAUGCACAUGUUGUUUCCCCUUUUCAUGUGAAGCCUCUACAACCGCCGUAUCCUGAAUGGUAUGAUACGAACACACAAUGUGAAUAUCAUGCGGGAAUUACGGGACACUCGAUUGAGAAUUGCACUGCCUUCAAGAAGCAAGUUGAAAGACUUAUCAACAUGGGUAUUGUCAAGUUUGGUGACUCGUCCAGCGCAGGAAAUCCGCUACCCAAUCAUGAUUGAGGAUGGAGGGACUGCAAUAUAUGAAGAAGUGGUGAGAAAUUUGCACAUCGAUGCGGACACAAUUAAAAGGGUCCUUGUUAGAUAUUCGCCUUAGAGGUGUUCUAAAUAAUGGGACUGCAAAGGAAACCCCUAAAAUAUUUAGAGUCUGUUAGAGUAAUGUUAAGAACACACUUGUUGCUUUCAGCCUAGAAGCAAUAGGAGUUUCUUUGUGAAAUAGGCUCACGUCUGAACAUUAUUAUUUUAAUGAAAUACAUUAUUGCAAUCAUCUUUGAGCAAAUGUUCUUUCAUUCUUUACGAUUUCUUUAUUUUUUUUCCUUUCAGAUUUUUUCUGCCAAAUUAUUCGUUCAUUCGUUCAUAUUAUUCAUACAUUCUUUUGUAUAUUCUUUGGUACCCACUAUGGGUCCCCAAAUAUCAAUGACAUGAGUGACGCUGCUACAGACUCAAAUCGCCUUUUGAGUGAGACAUGUGUUUAGAGGGAUCUCAUGGCUUUGAAGAUGUCAUAAAUUGCAGCUUAUCUCCUAACUUGUUGAGGAUGGUAAAGCAAUAAGAGAAACAAAUGAGACAGCAGAGACUACGACCUUGAGAAAACAUGCAUGACCGAAGAAUAAAGCAAGACGUUGCUGAGUUACUUCAAGCAUCCAAAGAUGCCUUCGCAGGGUCAUACCAGAAUGUGCCCGGUUUAAGCGAGGUCAUUACAAUCUGAACAACAGCACGAUAUCAAAAGUUUGCAACAUGUUCAAGGUGAAUAUCAUGAAUGGUGCAAUGAAAACUCUACCGGGGCAAUGCCACUCUUUCCAGUUUAUCACGUUUUUUCAUUGAAGUUGAAAUUCUUUCUAUUCGAGUUUUGGCUGAGCUAAGGUAGGAUGAAGAUCCAAUCCCGAUACGAUUAGUUGAACUUAGUUGAAGAAAAAGGCUAGAAACUAUUCAUCAGGCUCAGAUGCACCAAGAAAUGAAUGAUGCGAGCCUAUAGCAAAAGGUUUGUCCCAGAGAAUUCCACGAUGGCAACCUAAUGCUAAAGAAGAUCCUCACUCUACAAAAAAAUAUAACGGAUGCCAAAUUGGGAAAAAAAUUAUGUUAUAGAGAAGGUCUUUUCCAAAGGAGUUUUGAUUUUGGGCGAGAUGGAUGAUAAACCUGCAAAGUCCUGUAAACUCAGGUUCAGUCAGGAAAUACUCCGCUUAAAGAAUGAGAUGACCAAGGUGAAAACCCACAAAGGGUGCUUUGAGUCCAAAAAAAUAAAAAUAAAAAAAGAGAAAAAGAGGAAAAUGGAGAGGCUAAGGUGAAAACCCGUAAAGGGCGCCUUAGACCAAAGGGGAUUUGAGUUGAAAACCCGAAAAGGGCGGCUCAAAUAUUGAUUAGAAUGGGGCACGAGAUUAUCGGAGUAGCUCAAAUACUGAUCAGAAUGGGGCAUGCAAUGGUCUUGCUAUACCUAAAUCAACAAGAAAUGGUAGGCGACAUCUUGGGGCAUCGACAAAGUAUUCCUAAACGCAUGUCAAACUCAGAAUGAUCUUCAGAAAGUCUGUACAGCAAAGUUCAAGCUGCGAUAUUUGGGGCACCUAAUUCUUAUAUUAUUUUUUGUUAUUCUUGGAACACUUCAUUCAUUUCCAAAAUACGCAUUCCUAAAUCAAUUUCUUUAUUAUCCAUCUUUAUUAUAUUUGACAAUUUAUUCAUUUCGAGCUUUGCUCAGAACCAACUCUAUUCUUAUCCAUGGUCUUUUUGCAAGCAUGUUUCAUUAGAAUAAUGAUUCAUAGACUAAUAAAACUUUCACAAGGGAAGUUUUGCAUAUUACUCUAGAAGUUUCUAAAUAAUAUAGGAUCCUCAAACAGGACUAUUGUUUAGAAUGCACUAGGUUGGAAAUCUGAUAAGGAAAAGUCUAAAUUAAGACUAUCCCUUUGAAUUUUCUUGUCUAAAGUAUUAAUUGAACAAAAUGGCAAGAUGUCGUGUUGGUGACAAAGCUUCAAUGAACAAGCAAGCAAUGAUCACCGGAUAAUAAUAAGAAGUUGUUCUUGGAGAAGAUUACUUUAUUUGUGCAUGAGCAUUUGGUACAACACCCUGGGAAUGGUGUAAGAGACCAAAGAGUUUCACAUCCUUGAAUUGUGAUAGUGGAGGAUUAAGAAAAGGCCAAAACUUUUUACUCUCGGGUUACAACGGGAGGAAGAUGGUACAAAUUUUCGCAUACCAUUGAAUCAAACUUGGAGGUUUACAGUGGGGGCAACCUGGUCAAGUGUUUCUUUGGAGACGCCAGCCGAGCAAAAGGUGCUAUAGCACAUUAGCGAUGAAACUUUAAAUAAACUUUGAGUAAUGAUAACCUAAGUGAAAAUGAGGGAUCAUUCUCGAAAAAAUGACAUUCUGCAUUCAUUCAAAUGUCAUUCAUACACGCCUAGUUAGGAGCAUUUGAUUCAUUUGAUCAUGACAUCCUAAUCAUUAGGCAUAGUUAGGUUCAUAAAGUGAAUUAUACAGGUCAUGUUCCCUAGAGAACAGAUCGGUGAAAUCAUAAAGCCUUAUCUCCCUGAACAAUAGUGGAGCAGGUUGAAAAGCAGCAGGUCUUGUCUUCCUAUAUUGGUAGCGAAGUGGAUCGAAUAUACAGAUCUCGCCUUCCCAUACUGGUGGCGAAGCAGAUCGAAGGAAAAAACAGAUCUUGUCUUAUGGCGUGAAGUAGAUCAAAGAUAACAGAUCUCGCCUUCCCAUACUGGUGGCGAAGCAGAUCGAAGGAAUACAGAUCUUGUCUUCAUGUACUAGCGUGAAGUAGAUCGAAUAUACAGAGCUCGCCUUCUCAUACUGGUGGCGAAGCAGAUCGAAAGAAAGUAGAUAUUGUCUUCAUGUAUCAGCGUGAAGUAGAUCAAAGUCAACAGAUCUUGUCUCCCCAUACUGGUGGUGGAGUAGAUCAAAGAAAGUAGAUCUUGUCUUCAUGUAUCGGCAUGAAGUAGAUCAAAGUCAACAGAUCUUGUCUCCCUAUACUGGUGGUGGAGUAGAUCAAAGAAAGCAGAUCUUGUCUUCAUGUACUGCAUGAAGUAGAUCAAAGAAACAAAUAUUGUCUCCCCAUACUGGUGGUGGAGUAGGUCGAAGAAAACAGAUCGUGUCUUCAUGUACUGGCGUGAAGUAGAUCAAAGAUAGUAGGUCCCGUCUUCCUAUAUUGGUAGCGAAGUGGAUCGAAUAUACAUCUUCCCAUACCGGUGGCAAAGUAGAUUGAAGAUUACAGAUUUUGCCUCCCUAAGCAGUAGUGGAGCAGAUCGAAGAUGGCGGAUUUUACCUCCCUGAAGUUGCAGUGGAGUAUAUUGAAGCCAGUAAUUCUACCUCCCCGGUCGGCAGUGGAAUCGAUUGAAAAAGCAGAUCUUGUCUUCAUGUAUUGGCGUGAAGUAGAUCGAAGAAAGUAGAUCGAAGAAAGCAUAUCUUGUCUUCCCAUACUGGUGGUGAAGUAGAUCGAAGAUACAAGUCUUAUCUCCCUGAAGUUGCAGUGGAGCAGACUGAAGUAACCAAUCCUAUCUCAUUGAAGUUGCAAUGGAGUUGAUUAAAACCGCAGAUCUCAUCUCUCUGAAGUUGCAGUGGAGCAGAUCGCGCCAGAUUUAUCUUUAAGUUGCAGCAGACCAAAUUGAAACUAUAAGUCUUGUCUCCCUGAAGUUGUAGUGGAGCAGAUUAAAGAUAGCAAAUUUAGUUCUUUUGAGAAGCUACAAUGUAUGAAUCCUAUCUCUUCGACAUUACAGUAGGAGUGGAUUGAAGCACCAGUUCCUAUACCUCUGGAGAUGUAGUGGGAAGGAACGAGGCUACUAACGCUAAGGUCCAUAUGGCCGGGCAAAAAUUGGUCUUUUUAAGUCAUUGCUCUAUUCUCGUCACACGAUAACGAGCAAAGAGGGGCAGCUGUAAUACCAAUUUUUUCUGCCCGGGCCUAUACAAAAUAAAAUACAGCAGGCCCAUCUACAGACCAAACCCAUAUUCAAAAAAAACCUAGCCUAAGAAGCAGCAAGCUUCAGCCGCAUGCCCAACAGCAGCCUCCCUAACUGCCGUCGCAUCCUCCGCGCACGUACACCUCUUCCACGGCCUCCAUACCUACGAGAAAAGCGGAUCCAAACAGCAAUAGACGCAACAAAUAAUGAAAUAGGAUUUUUUACUUUUAUUUUGCUGUAAUUUUGGCUAUAAAAAGCCAUCAAAAAUCUGUAAAAUGGGGGGAACCAAUAUUGUAUUGAGAGAAUACUGAAAUACAAAAAUAGGGAGAAAAUAUUGAGAUUACAAAGAGAUUUUUGAAGGUGAAUCGUGUUUAUUUUUUUCCAUUUUUUCCAUUCUUUUUUAUUUUAUUUUUUAUUUAUUUUUAAUUUAAAAUAUAAAGAAGGGAGGAAGGACUUACCUCUCUCGCCGGAUUCGUCGAGUCGGCGCUAUCUCCGUCACAGUCGGAGCCUUGGCGCGAGGCUGAGCGACGGCGUUCGAGGGUUGAGGAAACCCUAAAAGGGUCUGGUUUCUCCUCUGGAAAGGGAAACCCAAAAGAACAAAUAAAUGUUCUUGUUUAAUUUUCUUUUGUUCUUUUAGAAGCUAAAAGAUGGACAAAGCAGGCCGUUUGGUUUUUGGGGUGGGGUCCGCGCAUAUCAACCUUAAAUGGGAGAUUUGCGCUACUAAUCCCUCUUUUUUUUGUGACGUGUUUUAAUCAAGUCCACUGUUUUUUAAAAUUUGGCCCAAAUAUUUUGCUCGCGUGACGAUUUAAUCCAUGUCACUGCACAGUGCUUCAGCGAUUUGGGAAAAUUACUUUUUAAGUCCUCCUCUCAUGGCGCGCGUAUCAUUUUGGUCCUUCCUGGUGUUUUCUAUUUUUAAAUUUGGCCUUUUAACUUCGUUUAGCUCUCAGUUUAAUCCUUAAUGGUGCUUUUUAAGGUUUUUUUUUGUAGUUUAUUUUUUUAGUUUUUGUUAUUAUUAUUAUUAUUAUAUUAUAUAGUAUUAUAAUUAUACUUACAUAUAUACGCAUAUGUAUGCUAAUAGAUAUAUAUAUAUAUAUAAAAUAUUUCUCUAAUACAUAUACAUAUUUUUAUAUAUAUAUUGUUAUUAUUUCUUUUUUAGCUUUUAUAUACAUAUAUACGUAUAUACAUUUAUAUUUCUAUUAUAUUUAUAUUUUUUUUUUCAUAUUUUAUAAUAUAUAUACAUUCUUUUAAAAUUAUUAUAAACAUUUUAUUGUUCUACACAUUCCAUUAUUUUCAUAUUGCACCUAUAUAUAUAAGUAUCUAAAUAUGUACAUAUUUUCAUGAUUGACCUACUUAUAUACUCAUACAUUUUUAUUUUGUAAAUAUAUGCACGUAUACAUAUGUUUUUUUAUUUUUAUCUUCACAAUUUUCACAUACAUAUGUACAUGCAUAUUAUUAUAAGUUUUGUUUUGUAUAUUUCAUUCCCUUUUAGGUACACUUAUAUUUUUUAAAAUGUAUGCAUAUACAUGUUUUCAAAAUUCAUUUAUGCUUUAUACUUAUAUUUUGAAAACACAUAUAUACAUAUAAUUUAAAUUAAAAUAUUUGUAUCAUAUUGUACAUUACCUUUUUAACGUACCCUUUUUGAAAAUAUGUUUUGGUUUUAACCAUACAUCAAAGUUAUUUUCUCGCUCCAAAGGUUUUUUUUUUUUGAAUAAAAGCAAUGUUCGAAGCUUGAGAUUUUCGAGGGAAAUUGAGCCCUAACGUAUUGGGUUCAGAUUUUCUUUGUUAAUCUUAAAUAACCGAGGAUAUUCUUUAUUCAAAAUGCAUGAGCAUAAAAAUCAUUUUUGGGAACUUAACUUGUCGUGCCCUAACGUAUUGGGUGUGGCAUGUUACUUUCUCGAAAUAAAUAUUUUCGCAUGAAAUAAAAGUGAUAUUCAAAGUUCGGGGAUUAUGAGGAAUUGUACCCUAACGUAUUGGGACUCGAUUUCUUUACAUGACUUGAACAAUUUGUUAUCCUUUUACAAAUUUCAUCAUUCAAGCUUAUUUUAAAAUCUUUUUAACUUUCGACACUAAGACAUUAAAUGAUCAAUUCGGUACCGAUUUUGGGCGUCACGAGGGUGCUAACCCUUCCUCGUGCGUAACCGACUCCCGAACUCGUUUUCUCAAAAUUCGUAGACCAAAAUAAUUUUUAAGGUGACCCGAUCACACCUUAAUAAAAGAUCGGUGGCGACUCCAGUUUUGUUUUAAAAGUCGACAACUAAAAUUUUUGUUUUUCAAAAAACGGUUUCAACAAUGAUUUUUUUUCAAAAUUUUGAUUUUUGAAUAUUAUUAGAAAAUUAUUUGGUACAUUGUUCGUGGAGUUUUUAAACUCCAACAAAAUUAAUAGGUUAACAAGUGUCUUACAGGGGUAUAAUAAAAUAUUAAAAAAUAAAUAUUUAAAAAAAAGAUAUAUAUCAAUUUUUUAAAGUUACUUGUGGAAUAAAAAUAAUAUAUUAUCGGCGUACCAAAUACUCGCCUUUUUAAUUAAGAUUCAAAAAUAAAAAAAAGUUAGUAAAAUGAAUGGAUUGCAAAUUGAGAAAUUUGAUAUUGAAUACUAAAAUUUUCUUAAAAGAAGACAUAACAAGAUACGAAAGUUAGUGACUUAUUUGAUUUAAUUUUAAUUUUUAAAUUUAUGCAUUUUAUUAUGAAUUUUUAUUCUUUGUUGACUUUGUAAAAUUUGUCUGCAAUUUCCAAUUUUCAUUUCUCAUAUGAGUUUGAGAUAUAAAAAAAAUUACUCUUAAGAUUGGUGAAAUAGGGGUUACAGUCGAUACAAGAGUUCACUUUAUGAUAUGUGUAAUGAUUGUGUUCUUCGAAAUAUUGUUUACAGGUAGGAUAUUGAAGUUUUAUUAUUAGAGUUUCGUUAAAAGGUCAAGUGUUCUAUUUUGGCCUAAGACUCUAGGAGUUCUGUUAUCAAUAUUCUAAUUAUAAUCACGAUCUGUAAAAAAUAUAAGUAACAUGUGACAUGUAAAUGAAAAGUUUUAUGGUAUGAUAAGCCAUAAAUUAAGUGAAAAUGUUAGAAAGCGUAUGAUUAUAUUAAAGACAAAAAUAAUUAAUUUAGUUUAAUGAUUUGUAAAAUUGAAAAGUGAAAUGCAUGAAUUAUGUAAGAGAAUGUUCAUGAUCGAUAUGUGGUAUGUAAAUGACAAGGAAAAAAUUAUAUGACCAAAUAGUAGAAGUGAAUAAUGACAUUAGCUAAAUACUUUGUAUGUUCAAUAGUAGGUUGCGUUAACAGGCCUGCCCUCUAUGUGGCUUGGCUGUAGUUUAUUGCACCUUUGUACUUCUUUCUUUUAUGAAUAAAAUCAAUGUUGAUUAGAAAAAAAAGAAAACAAAAACAAAAACAAAUAGUAGAUAGCAACAAACAAAGAAAAAGAAUCUCAUGCCCCACUAACAUUUUUUUUUGUACGUUUAGUCAAAAUGAAUAUAAUUAAAAAUAUUAAAUAGAUGCCAAUUGAGGUUUAGUGUAGUUGAUAUUGGUAUUAUUAACUUUGCUCAGUCCAUAUUCCCAUAAUAUACGAUGGUCAUAUGUGAGUUUUAAUCUAGUUAAUUUAAUUUGUUGGCUUUAGUUUUGAUUGUACCGACUUUUAUUCUCGUUCUGCUCUAAUAAUUUGAUUCUAUUUUGUAAUUCUUUAUAUAAUUCGUGCUGUAAUGUUUGAUACUUGUAACAAACAAAUACAAUUUAAAAAAUAGCUAGUAUUUGGUACACUGUUAGAAUAUUAUUAUGAGAAAUUAUCUUUUAGGAAUAUCUAAAUGUAUUGUAUAUUAUUAUAUAUCUUUUAAGCAUAUAUUUAGGAAUAUAUUAUAUAUCUUUUCUAUUCCUACAUGACUACUGUUGUAUAAAUAUUAUGUAUAUUCUUGAAGCUUAUCAAUAAGAUUGAAAGGAAUUAUUACCCUAUUCUUAUCAUGGUAUCUAAGCUUGAUGUUUAACAAAAAAAAAAAAUCGUUGUUUGGUAGACUUCCUUUAAUUGAUGAUCUUUGUGUGUUUGGUUGCGUAUGUUUUGUUCAUAAUCAACAUUCUAAAGGUGAUAAGUUUAUUAGUCAAAGUCAAAAGCGUGUUUUUGUUAGCUACCAUUUUGUCAAAAAUAAAUAAAAAUAUAUUUUAAUAUAAGACAUUUUGGGACUGUUGACAUGUCAUUUCUGAGUUGUUUCCACGAAAUGCAAUCGAUACAUAAAUUAAUCAAUAGAAUAGCAUCGACUCUCAAAGACGAUAUCUAAACCUUGGAAACAUUCUUCCUUAUUUCUUGUCUUUUUCUACUUUGAUUGUGAUGUGAUUUGUUUGAUUCUAACCACUCCAUUAAAUAAAUCAUCCAAAAACAUAUAUUAAUGCGAGGAAUAGGUGGUUGAAGAAAGAGAAAGCAAAAAUAAUAAUAAUAAAAGGAAAUUAAUUAGGAAAAUGACCUUAUAUGAAAACACUCAUACAAUUGGAUAACUCAUUCACUCCACCUUUAAGAGGAGAAAAAGAAAAACCUUGUUUAUGUAAUACAUGGAUACCUAAUAAUUCAUUUAUACUUUGGUAUAAGACAUUUUGGGUUGUUAUUUCUGGGCUGUUUCCAUGAAAUAGAAUCGAAACUUGCUUUCCUACUUUUAAAGCAACUAAGAAGUCGUCUUUCUCAAUUUAUUACUUUCUGGCUAUGCUCUGUUAAGAAGAAAAACACAGAAGGGGGAAAACUAUCGGUUAUUGAUCAAAGCCAAAAGGUACUCCAUCUGCUUUUCUUUUCCCUGCUUUGCUCUUACUCUUUUGAAAUAAGCUUAGGCAGGCAGGUUUAACCAUGAGAAUAGACUUCUUUUAUGCUUUAAAUCUCUAAAAAGGGAUGAGUAUUAGGAAUGCUGCAUAAGCACUUGUGUUUGGGAUGUAUCAACAACUUGCUGCUUCAUGGUUAUUCAGAGGUUGGGUGAUUUCUCUUGUAGUCGACCACCUUUUUUUUAUUCGAUGCUUUAUUUCCAUUCAAAACUAUGUAUGGUUGGAAAGCUGGUUUGAUAGUCCACUAAAAUUAUAUGAAGAAUCAUUUAAAAAAACAAAUUAAAUAUAUAUUUUUUAUAUAUUUAAAAGUGUUUGUUUAUAUAUUAUUUAGAAAUUGCUUUUAUAACAUAAUAUACUAUUUUGAAAUUUGGAAUUUAAUAUUUAAAGAAUUAACUAAUUUAAAAAAUGUGCAGCGAACUAAAAAAAAAGAACAUUAAUGAACAAAAAAUUUUUUCUUAUAUAUUGUAAAAUUAUUGUUAGAAAUUUUUAGUAUAACAAAAAGAUAUUAUUGAUAUUAGUCACUCUUAUAUAAUGUAAAAACUAAAAUCAAACUUCCGUAAUUAUUUAUAUGAUUAAUAUUUUAACGAUUUAACCGUUUAAUUUAUCAAUAUAUAUAUAAUUGUACUUGUAAUGCAUGUAAAUUUUUGAACUGAUUCGAUAUCUCUAUCGUAUCGAUCUAAAAUAAUCUAUACACUAAUAUAUAAUCAACGAUUGAAUUUUUUUUACAAAAAUAAAAUAGUUAGAAGUUUUAAAUUUACAUCAAAUUUGACAUGUAUAACCUAUAUGAAUAGACCAUAAAAUAUAACAGUUGGAUCGUUAAAAUAUUAAUUAUAUAAAUAGUUACGGAAGUGUGUAAAAUUCCUUUAGCUUUUACAUAUAUAAGUGGAUCCUUCUCCUUAAUGUUAAUAAAUUUUAAUUUUGUUAUCACAUAAUAUUAAAAAUAUGAAUUAAUAUUAAAAAAUAAAUAAAAAAUAUAAAUAUAAAUAAAGUGAGUAUUUGGUACACUGACAAUGUACUUUUUUUAUUCCAUAAGUAGUCUUAAAAUAUUGACAUAUGUCUCUAUCUUUUAAAUAUAUUACUAUACAUUUGUAAGAUACUUGUCAACCUCCUGACCCUACUUGUAGAGUCUAAAACCUCCACUUACUAAAUAAGUUCCACAAUUUAUUAUUAAUAUUUAUUAGACAAAACAUGUUAUCGAACAAAAUAAAUUAAUUAUUAAUAAACACAUAUGAAAUAAAAUAUAAAUAGAAUGAUUUAUAAUUAAUUUAUUAAAUAUGAAUCAAAUAAAAACAUAAGAAAAAGUUGAAAUAAAUAAGAAUUGAGAUUUUACGAAACAUUGAGGCCUGUGAAACACAGUUUCCUUAAGAUAGAUUUGGCCGCUCCUACGGUACUUGGAGAAAUGUUAGUCGAAAGUCUCCCAGGAAACAAUAACAAAAGUGAUCAAAGUAGUAAACGAACGAAUUUUGCCUUUUUCUAUCACAAGAAUGUUUGAAAACAGAGAGGAAAAGGAAGAGUUUUUAAAUGAACAGAAUUUUGGCAUAAAAAAUUAUUUGACUGUGUUUAAUCCUCCAGAAUACACAACCUUUUAUAGGCAUUUAGGAUAACGAGCAAAAAAUCAAUUUGAUUUAAAAAUUAAAUCAAAUCAGAUACUGUCCAUAUAUAAGCAGAUUAUGUCUACUGAGGAAAAAUAAAUUCGUGUUGGGCAUAAAAUAUCCGCAAGGGUUAAAAUAUCCGCAUGGGCCCGACCGGUCCAAACAUUUCGCGUUGCCCACGUCAUGCAGGUGCACUCAACCCCAUUAGAUUUGGACCUACACCCCCCUUACGCUUGAGACAAUGUUACAAGCUUCGUUAUUCAAUUAUUUUUAAAGAGAGUUCACAUACAUAAGCACAUUGGUAUUUAACCAAUGUGGGAUCUGAGCCUUUACUUUUUCUCAACAAUAUUUUCAAGUAGCUUACUUUGAGCAUCAAUUUCUCAUUCACCACUCAACCAUUUUGAGCAUAUGAUAUACCAUUGUAAAGGUCUCAUGGAGUAGAAUAGAAACCGUAAAAUUAUGAUUCAACUCUCCACUUUUAACUAUUGAGAAUAUGCCUCAAAGUUUCCAUAAAAGUAAUUCUUCCAACAAUAUUUUUAAACUCCAUCAAUAAGGUCAAGAGAUUGACAAGUGUUUUAUAAGAGUAUAGUAAAAUAUAAAAAAAAUUAAAAAUUUUAAAAAAGAGACACUUAAACUUUUUAAAAUGGCUUGUGGAAUAAAAAAAUAUUGCUAGUAUACCAAAUAAUCACCCAUAAAUUAUUGCUUUAAUCAAAAUAUAAGAAAUAGGUAUAAUUUUGAAUUAGUUUAAAUUAAUUUAAAAGAAAUUUAAUUUCAUGAUAAAAAAUUUAUAUUUCAAAAUAAUUAGAAAGAUUUAAUUUUUAAAUAAUAAUUAAAAAAAUUUAAAAGAUGUGUUGUAAAAAUAUUCAAAGUGUAAAAAGGCAAUUUAUUCCUUCAAUGCUUAGGAAAAAGUAUUCCUUAAAAAAAGAUAAUUAUUAGAAAAUAUCAUUAGAUAUAUGUCUAUAUUAAUAAAUAGUUAUCUAUUAACAAAAUCACUUUAUUUGUCAUAAAAGUAACAUUAAGCACAUAUUUAUAAUUUUAAAAUUUUAACCCUUCAAUGGUAGUUAAGAUUAUGCAAAUGAGUUUUCUUUUUCUUUCUUUUUUUUAAAAUAUAAGAUAAUUCAAGUUUUGGUCUUCGUUGUCGCUGUGGUUAUUCAGUUUGCUCUCUCAAUGGAGUUUGUUAUUGCCAUCGUUGGCUCUAUUGUCGCUAAAGCUGUAGAGAAUACGAUCUCUCCUAUCAAAAACCAUGUCAAAUACCUUUCCAAUCAUCAGAAAUAUGUUGAGACCCUCAAGAACCGAGCUAAUAGGCUGAAAGAUGCAAGGGACGGAGUACAGAAUUCUGUUGAUACAGCUAAACGAAACGGUGAGGAGAUCGCAGGUGAUGUUGACAAAUGGCUGUCUGCAGUCGACGAAAAGAUCCUUGAACAAGUAGAGAAAGUGAUGCAAGAUGAAGAAAAAGCAAAGAAAAAGUGUUUCAUUGGUUUGUGUCCCAAUUUCAGGACUCGUUACAAGCUUAGCCUGAAAGCUGAAGAGGAGGCAAAGGCUGUUGCCGAGCUACUUGAACAUGGCAAGUUUGAAAGGGUUUCCUAUCGUGCAGCUCCGCAAGGUAUCGUGGUUGCACCAGUUAAAGGUUAUGAGGAAUUCGAGUCAAGAACGUCGAUUUUGAACGGAAUAAUGGAGGCACUAAAAGAUGAUAGCGUCAGCGUUGUUGGGGUGCAUGGUACGGGUGGGAUUGGAAAAACAACGCUGGUCAAAGAAAUCGCUAGAAAGGUAAAGGGCAAGUUGUUUGAUUCGGUUGUCAUAGCAACCGUAACUCAAGCCAUCGAUAUUGAGAAGAUUCAGAACCAAAUUGUAGACUUCUUGGGCUUGCAAUUUGAGGAACAGAGUAUGGUUGGAAAGGCAUUUCGACUACGAGAAAGAUUGAAGGAAGAGGAGAGGAUUCUUGUUGUCUUGGAUGACAUUUGGGGAAAGGUUGAUAUUGAGGAAGUAGGGAUUCCUUUGGGAGAUGAACACAAGGGCUGCAAAUUACUAUUAACUUCUAGAGAGCUCAAUGUUUUAUCAAAUGGGAUGGAUGCUCAGAAAAAAUUUCCCAUUGGGUUUUUAAAUGAAAAGGAAGCCUGGGACCUGUUCAAGAAGAAGGCUGGCGACUGUGAUGAAAGUUGCGAUUUGAAGCCUAUAGCUAUGGAGGUAGCCAACAAAUGUGCAGGACUACCGAUAGCCAUUGCGACAGUUGCAGGGGCUUUGAGAAACAAAAGAUUGUUUGAAUGGAAGAAUGCUUUACGAGAACUGGAGAGGCAUUCGUCAAGCAACUUCAUGGGGAUAGCUGCGGCAUAUUCAGCUAUAGAGUGGAGUUUUAAUUAUUUAGAAAGCGAGGAAGUUAAGCUGACUUUCUUGCUUUGCAGUGUAAUAGGCCAUAAUGGUCUCGUUGAGGACUUGGUAAGAUAUACUCUAGGUUUGGGUUUAUUUGAUGGUGUCCUCACUAUGGAAGAAGCUAGAAAUAAAGUAUUGACGGUUGUGGCUAAUCUCAAAGCGUCUGCCUUGUUGCUUGAUAGUUAUAAUGAUAAGCGCUUUGAUAUCCAUGAUGUUGUUUGGGAUGCUGCUAUAGCUAUCGCAUUGAAGGACUACCGUAUGCUUGUUUUGAGAGAUCAUGCUCCAAAGGAGUGGUCCGAUAAGGAGAAAAUGAAGACGUGGAAUGUGAUCAGCUUACGUUGUCCUCAGAUUAUAGCUAACCUUCCUAAGGAGAUGGAGUGUUCAGGACUUUCCUUUUUCCGUAUGGCCUAUGAUGGCGCGGUUAAAAUUCCUCCCAAUUUUUUCAAACAAACCGAAGACCUCAAAGUCUUAGAUUUGUUCGGAAUGCAGUUUCCAUCCCUACCUGAAUCAAUUAUUCACCUCACGGACCUUCGCAUGUUGUGUCUAAAAGAAUGUGCAGUUGAUGACAUCACCAUCCUUGGAGAGCUCAAGAAUUUAGAAAUCCUCGACCUUUCUAAGUCAGGUAUCAAAGAAUUACCUAAGGAGAUGGCACAAUUGACUCAAUUAAGGUUGUUAGAUUUGCGUUGGUGUAGAGAACUCAAAAUCAUCCCACCGAAUAUCUUAUCAGGUUUGUCUAAAUUAGAAGAAUUAUAUAUGAGGGGGAGCUUUGUUGAAUGGGAGAAGGGAGGAAUAGUUGAAAAUGAGAGGAAAAAUGCAAGCCUUGAUGAAUUAAACAAUUUGCCUUGUCUAACUACUUUAUAUGUUCAUAUUCUUGAUGUCCAAAUGAUACCAAAACACCGGUUUGUUGAAACAUUAGACAGAUUCAAGAUUUUCGUAGGUAAUUAUGGAGCAUAUAAUUGUUUCCAUAAUUAUGAAUCUCCGAAAACAUUGAAGCUCAUGUUAUAUACAAACAUUGAUUUGGACAAUGGGAUGAAAAUGUUGUUGAUAAAGACAGAAGAUUUGUGCCUAGAGGGACUUGAAGGCGUCAAGAAUGUAUUUGUGGAGUUAAAUAAUGGGAAAGAUCUUCCCAAUUUAAAGAGACUUCAUGUCAAAAAUGGUAGGCAUGUCCAAUAUAUCAAAACGAACAAAAUUGGAUUUUCUGAAUUAUGCUUCAUCAAACUUGAAAAUCUACCGCAACUCGUUAGCUUUUGCUCUCCAGACGAAAGGUGUUCCACUAAGCCCUUACUACUUUUCAAUAAACAGGUAUUUGUUUGGCUUUACUUAUAUUUUCUUAUACAACUUUUAUUUAUAUGCCCAUUAAUACUUCUAAUAAUAGAAAUAAAUAAUAUUGUGUAAUGAUUUUUUUGGAGCUAAAAAAUAAAUUUCAAAUCCAAAACAAAUGAAAAUUUAAUUUUUAAUCCAAAUCGAUUGAAAGUACAAAAUCAAUUCAAUAAUCUAAAUUUAAACCCAACAAUUUUUUUUAAUUCUUAAAAUGAAAUUUGAGCCCACAAAUUGAACUAAAAUUAUCUUUAAAAUUGAAAAUCAUAUUUUCAAAUUAUGUUACAUACUACCUUUAUUUUAAAAGAAUUGUGUGUAAAUAUGUGCAAUUUAUUUUCCCUCAAUCGAAAACCAGACAUGUCAUUGGAUUACGAAUUUGAGGAGGUUGAUCAUCAAAGGAUGCGGCAAGUUGGAGCAUCUGUUAUCACCCUCUCUCGCUAGAAGUCUGGUGCAGCUCCAAUACUUUCAGAUAGAGGAUUGCAAGUGCUUAAGGGACAUAAUACUUACAGAGGAAAUUGAAGAAGAAAGGAAAGAUGUGAUUUGUUUCCCUCGAUUAAACUCCCUGCAUAUAGUGGGUCUUCCAAACCUCAUCUUCUUCAACUCAGGAAACCACAAUAUUGAGUUCCCAUUGUUGAAAGUGCUAAAGAUUCAGCGUUGCCCCAAGUUAAUAGAAUUCAUUAGUCAGAAUAGUAAUCAGUCCGGCAUGCAAGCUCUCUUCAGUGAGAAGGUGAUUUAUUUCAUUAGUCUUACACUCUUGCAUAAAUCUGUUGAUUUGUCCUUGUUUUUUUUUUCUGCCUUCAUUAUUUGAGUUAACCUUAUUAUGGGCAUGGAUUAUAUAUAUAUUAUAUAUAUGAAUAGAUUGCAGUUCCAAGCUUGGAAGACAUGAAUAUCUCUAACUUGAGUAAUGUGAAGAUGAUAUUUUAUAAUGACCUAGCACCAGAUUCCUUUAAAAAUCUACAAAAAAUAAGUGUUUGGGGAUGUGGGAGUUUGAAAAAUCUAUUUCCAGUAUCAAUAGCCAAAGAUCUUCCACAACUUGAACAUUUACGCAUCACUGAUUGUGGAGUUGAGGAGAUUGUAUCGAAAGGGGAUGGAGUGGAGGAGCAGCCUGUGAGGUUUGAGUUUCCGCAAGUGUCUUACCUUGAGGUUAGUGGGGUAGAAAAGCUCAAAUGUUUCUAUGAAGGGCAACAUACAAUAGUCUGGCCGAUGUUGAAAAAAUUGACAACAGAUAGUUCUGCUUUGCUAAAGAUAGUGGCAUCGGAACAUCUUAGAUUAAUCCAAGGAAAUGAGCAGCCAGUUUUGCUGGUUGAAGAGGUAAGUAUAUCAUUACAACUAUAUUUCUUUUUAUGAUUUAAACCACUGCGACAAGCAUCUCAAGUUUAUAUUUUGUUUGAUUUGAAGUUUUUUUUUCAUAUUUUUGAAUUUUUAAUAUGUAUAUUUUAAUUUUUUUUGUUACAUUUAUAAUUAUUUUUUCAAUUUUUAAAAACAAGACUUAAUAAAUAUAAUAGGUAAAUAUUGAGUGUUAAUCUUGAUUUUUUAGAAUGUAGUUCAAUUUGAUAAAAUGUAUAAAUAUUGAGGUUUAAAUUUAUUAUUAUGAAAAAAAAAUGCUACAUUAGCAUCCUGUUAGGGACUUUGCAGCCUAGCAAUUAAGAUAUUUAAUUUCUCUAGCAACAGUGAUUAAAUUGAAAUUUUAGUUGUUUUUAAGUGACCAAAAUGAAAAUAUUUUAAGAAUUAAGUGACUGUAUAUGUGGGUCAAAACUAAAUAGAACGUUUAGUUUGCUAAAAAAAAUGGCCACUCAAUAAAAAGUCAAAAUUUUAAAAGUUAAUUACCCUGGACAUCUCAAACUAUGACCUUCAUUUUAAAUUAGUCCCAAAAUUUAAAACAUUCUAAGUACAUCCUUAAACUAUUGAGGUUAUAUCAAUUAGGUCUUUUUUUAUUAAAUUCGUUAAUUUAACCAUCAAAUUAAGUCAAUCUAAUAUUUUAAAACCUUGGUGUUUUAUCUACACUGUUCUGCUUAUAUUUUUUUAUCAUAGAAAUAUAUAUAUAUAUAUAUAUAACAAUGGUUGUUUAUCUGUUUUAAUCUAGAUUUGCUACUCUUCUUUCGGCUUUCAUGUUGUGUAAUUUUUAUCAGUUUUUAUUCUCAAGGUAUUGUGUUUUCUUAAAACAAAAAAAUCAUCUACUCUGGAUUCAUUUGAUUUAAUAUUGAUUUUGUUGGGAUUUAAUCAUCAAAAUCAAACACUAAAAUUGUAAAUCUUUUUUGUUUGUUUGUUUGUUUAUUUAAAGCAUAUACAUCAACAUUGAGCCUAACUUGUAUAUAUUUAAUUGGUUUCCAAGGUCAUUCCCAAAUUAGAGGAACUUGAGUUACGAAAUUUUGGUGAUGUGGACCAAUUUCCACCAGACUUGUUUCAACGUAUUAAAGUUUUUGCAGUGAGUGGUGGCUCUCCAUUUUCUUUAUUUCCUUUCGUCCGAAGAUUCUACAAUCUGAAAAGACUUGAGGUUUCUAAUUUUGAUUUCAAACAUGUAGUCCCUUGUAAAGAAGACGUCGAGACUCUCCCAUCAAUUAGAAAUCUGAAAUUGGUUUCUGCCAGAAAUCUUAAGCAUAUUUGGAGGAAAGAUUCGGAGCUUGACCAUAUUCUUUCUGAUCUUCAAACACUCACAAUUCACAAUUGUGAUGAUUGGAUAAACAUUAGAGUCUUCUCAUCAUCUUUACAAAAUCUCACAAUUUUGAAUGUGUCACUUUGUAAAAUGAUGACAAACUUAGUUACACCCUCAGUACUUAAGAAUCUUGUGCAAUUAACGACAAUGAUCGUAAGAGAGUGCACUAAAAUGACAGAAAUAGUGGGAAACGAGGGAGACUGUCAUCAGACAAUAGUUGUUAGUAAAUUGAAAUGUUUACAACUAUGCAAUUUGAAGAGCCUCACAAGCUUUUGUCCGUGGUAUUACAACUUCGAGUUUCCUUGUUUGGAAGAAUUAGUUGUGGAACAUUGUCCUUGGUUAAAGAUCUUUUCUGAGGGAGUUUUAAGCACCCCACAAUUACAGAGAAUAAAACAGUCGCAUUACCGUGAGAAAUGGAGUUGGACAAGUGACCUUAAUACCACCAUACAACUGCUCAACACAGAAAAGGUACAAAGUUAAUAAGUUCAUAAUGCUAGCUAGAUUCCUCAUGUCCUAAUACAAUUAAUUUUAUUACUACUUCAAUAACCAUUGAAGAUUGUUAAUCGUUAUUUUGUUAUUGUCUCCAUUUUCUAUUUAUGAUUGCUAUCUAGUGGAAUAAUAUCAGAUUAAUUUUUAGGAUGGACUCUAUGAUUUCAACAUCUCUGACACAUUUCCGGAGUCGAUAGAAAUAUGGACUAGAAACCCUCAAGAAAUUUUGGUAUUCAAAAACUUUAGCAUCCUGCAGUUUUAUAAAUGUAGCAGCUUGAAGUACAUAUUUACUCCGUCUAUGCUUUUGAGCCUCAAUCUACUACGAAGGAUAGAAGUGGAAGAAUGCAGUUCAAUGGAACAAGUAGUUAGGGAGGAGGAGGAAGCCAUGACACAUAAAUUUACAUUUCUGUCGCUACUCUCCGUAACAAUUAAGUCGUGUUCCAACUCGACAAAUUUCCAUUUGGGAAGUCAAGCUCUUGAAUUUCCAGAGCUGAGGAAUAUCACGAUAGAGGAGUGUCCAAAAAUGACUGCAUUUUCUUCCUCAGUUUCAAGAGAGAGUGGUGAUGCAAGUGAAAGCGUGGUUGGCGAAGGGGGCAUCUAUGAUAACACUGCAACUUUUUUCAGCAAUAAGGUAAGUUUGGUAUUCAAUAUUUAUCUGCACAACUUAUUUCACAUUUUCUUUUGAUUUGAUCAACAUGAGUGUGUCUGGUCUAUAUAUACAUACUAGUGCUACACCUUGUCAAAAUUGAAUAUAAUAAAAUCCAUAUAUUAAUAAAUAAGAUAUAUUUAAAAAAAAGUUGAAGUUUAAAGUAUAAAUAAAUUGUUGGAACAAUGAACAUAUAUAAAGGAAACAAAACAGUUUCUUGAGCUUUAAGGCUCGAGACUUGCAGAACAAACAAUAACAGAAUUAAGCAUGUAAGAACCAAAUGAAACUAAGAUUGAGAGAGUAUUGAAUGAACAAUUCUUAGAGGAAUUUUCAUUAACUGAAACAAUGGCAUAAUGCCAAUACAUAUACCAGACAUGAGCUGGUCAAGGAAAACAACUUGAUUACAUAAACAUCACCUACUAUCACUAAGUAACCUUAGAACUAAUAAAACAUAACUUGCACACUUAGUAAAGCUGUUUUUUCAGCUCAAACAUUGACAAAAAUUCAUCAAGUGCGAUGACAACUUGGUUCAAAUCAAACUAAGUUACAAAAUGUUGAUCAAAGUAACAAAACUAAGCUAAAACAGCAUUACCAUCUUCAGCUGCAACAUGCAUGGCUCGGGCAGUUUCUGUUGCUGCAUGUCAGCAUGCUGGCCAGCUUCAACACUCCUCCUUGGCUUGCAUGCUGCAAACUCCCAAUCUCAUUCUCAAAUGCUCGAACCUUGAUAUACUAAGGGGCUUUGUCAGAAUGUCAGCAAGUUGAUCCUGAAAACUGCAAUGAAUCAGUUUCACCUCAUUAGCUUAUUCUAUUUCCCUAACAAAAUGAAACUUAACCUUGAAGUGCUUUAUUUUUCCAUGGAACACUGGAUUCUUUGGAAUUACAACAGCAGACUGGUUGUCACAGUUGAUCUCUGUUGCUUUCCUUUGGUGUAAAUUCAAGUCAGUCAUGAUCUUUCUUAGCCAAAUGGCUUGGUUAACAGCAUUAGCAGCUGCUACAUACUCUGCCUUAGCUAUUGACUGAGCAACUACUGUUUGCUUCUUUGAACUCCAACAAAAAAUAGCUGAACCAAUGGUAAACAGAUACCCUGAGGUGUUUUUCAUGUCAUCUAUCGAUCCAGCCCAAUCACAUCUGCAUAUCCAAACAGCUUCAUGCUUUCAGCCUUGGUGAACAUCAUUCCAAAGCUCAGCGUACCUUUAAUGUACCUGAGAACUCUUUUAGCAGCUUGGAAGUGCUUCACAUUACAGCAAUGCAUGAAUCUAGAUAUCAGACUUACAUCAAACAUAAUAUCUGGUCUGGUGGCAGUCAAAUAGAGCAGGCAUCCAAUCAAGCUUCUGUAGGUUGAUUUACAAACCUUUUCGAAAUCACCUUGGCUUGACAGCUUCUCUCCAACAACAACUGGAGUGCUUGUUGCCUUACAGUUUAGCAUGGAGAAUUUGUUCAGAAUCUUCAAGGUAAAUGCCUUCUGACUUAGGAAGAUCCCUGAUUGAGUUUGAGACACUUCCAUGCUAAGGAAGUAGCACAUUUAUCCUAAAUUAGACAUCUUAAACUUUUUCUCUAUUUUUCCUUUCAAAUCAACCAGCAAUUCAUGACUUUGACCUAUCACAAGUAGGUCAUCAACAUACAAGGACACUACAAGCUGUGUUUCAAUACCUUUCUUCUUCACAUACAAGGUUGGCUCACUGAUGCUUCUCUCGAACCCCAAGCUAGCCGGGUAGCUAUCGAUUCUAUCAUACUAGGCUUUUGGUGCCUGUUUUAAGCCAUACAAGGCUUUCUUCAGUUUGUACAUUUUGUCCUCUUCACCAACAACUUUGAAACCUUCAGGUUGCUCGAUAUAAAUCUCUUCUUCAAGGAAACUAUUGAGAAAAGCUAACUUUACAUCGAGCUGAUGUAUUUUCCACUGCUUUUGUGUAGCCAAAGCAACCAGCAGCCUGAUUGUGUCAAGUCUGGCUACUCGUGCAAAUGUUUCAAAGUAGUUAAUACCAUACUUUUGACUGAAUCCCUUCACUACCAGUCUUGCUUUCAGCUUGUUCAGAGUUCAAUCAGCAUUGUGCUUGGUUCAAAACACCAAUUUCACUCCAAUAAUUUUCCUAUUGACUAGUCUAUCAACUAGCUCCCAGGUCUGGUUCUUUUGAAUCAUGUUCAUUUCAUCGAGCAUAGCCUGUUUCCAUCCUUGUUGAGCUUCAGCUUCUUCAAAACAACUUGGUUCAACUGCAGCCACUUCAGCUCUUUCAUAAAUUUCACUUAAAGGUCUGGUUUCCCUGAUUGGUUCGUGGUCAAUAUCCAUUUCAGGACCAUUUUGAUCAGCUUCAGUCUAAUCAGUUAGCAGAUCUUCAGUAGCAACUUCUAGAUCAUUUUUAUCCUAAUUCCAUCAUGUCUUCUCAUGAAACACAUCCCUACUUACAAAGACUUCAUUAGUUAAAUGAUCUAGGAUCCUGUAGCCUUUCUUCACACUGCUAUUGCCUACCAGGAUACCUAGUUGUGCUUUCUUGGCUAAUUUAUCCCUCUUAACAGCUAAGACAUGUGCAUAGCAUAUGAAGCCAAGGACCCUCAGAUCAACUAGUAAUGGUUUGAACUGAAACCAGGCUUCAAAUAGAGUUUUAUGAGCCAAUGCUUUUGUUGGCAGUCUGUUUUGAAGAUAUACAGUAGUGUUAACUGCCUCAGCCCAUAAGGUUUUUGGCAAAUUCUUCUCAAACAACAGACAUCUUACCAUAUCCAUCAGGUUUCUAUUUUUUCUUUCACUAACACCAUUCUGUUGUGGUGUAUAGGUGUUGGUAAGUUGAUGCUUGAUGCCUUUUUCAUCAUAGAAACUCUAAAACAUUACUGAGGUAUGCUCUGUCCCAUUGUCUGACCUUAAUGUCUUCAGAUUGCAACCUGUUUCUGUUUCUGCUGCAAACUUGAACUUCUAAAAUACUGAGGCCACUUCUGAUUUUUGUUUUAAGAAGUAAAUCUAACAAUACCUCGAGUAAUCAUCAAUAAAAAGAAUGAAAUACUUGCUACCAUUCAAGGAUGGUGUUUUCAUAGGGCCACACACAUCAGUAUGAACCAACUGCAGUUUUUGUGAGGCUCUCUGGGCUUUGUUCAAGGGAAAUGGCAGUCUGACCUGCUUUUCUAAUUGACAUACCUCACAAACAUCCUCAUUCUCAACAGAAUUGGUGAAAUUUUCCACCAAAGCUUCUUUGGUUAGUUUAGCCAGUGAGUUGUAGUUGACAUGGCCUAACUUCUUGUGCCACAGCUUGGAUUCAUCUAGUACUACUAUGUAGGCACUGUCUGAGCUCUUAUUCUAGUCUACUACAAAACUUCUAUUAGCCAUAGUUACUAACAUAAGCUUAGAUCCACUUGGAUCACUGAUCAGGCAUUAUUUGCCUUUGAACACAAUUAAAUAGCCCUUUUCUAGCAACUGAGCUAUAUUAGCAAGUUUCUGUCAAUUUCAGGUACAAACAAGACAUUUGAGGCAAGUUUGUUACCUGUUGAAGUGUUAAUCAGCACAUCUCCUUUGCCUUCUGCCUUGAUGAAGUGUCUAUUUCCAACCUUCACCCUUGUUUUGAAGCUUCUGUCGAUGCUCUUGAAGAUUGCAGCAUUAGAAGUCAUAUGGUUUGUGCAACCACUGUCUAUCAGCCACCCUUUUAUGACUUUUCCUUUGGCAGCUGAGCAAGACACUACAAAGACUUGCUCUUCCUGGUCACUACCUUGUUUUUCCACUUGAGCUUCAGCUUUUGGCUGUUGAGGUUGACUUUGUCUCAGCUUGCCUUUGUUUCUACAAACUUUCUUAGAGUGACCCAUCUUUUUGUAGACUUUGCACUGCACAUCAGGCCUAAACCAACAAUUUUCAGUUGGAUGACUGAGUCUUUUGUAGUAUGGGCAAAGUGGAUAUCUCAUUCCUACUCUAUCUCUUCUAGGCUUGUUAAGCCAGACUUUUCUCCAUUUAUUGUCAAAGAAGCUUGAGACAAGUUUGCUCUUGGCUUGAAAGGUACCUUCUUGAUGCUCCUCUUGUCUUCUAGCCCUUCUUUGCUCUUAUGCAUAAAGAGCAUUGAUCAGCUCAGUCAAAGAGAUACUUAUCAGAUCUCUUGAAUCUUCAAGGGAUGAGACCUUGGCUUUAUAUCUCUUGGGUAAAGUUGAGAUAACCUUUUCUACAAUUCUUGCUUCACUAAACUGGUCCUCAAGCAAUCUAAUACUGUUCACUAUAGCCAUGAUUUUGUUUGAAUACUGCUUCACUAUUUCUUCCUCCUUCAUCUUCAAGUUUUCAAAGUCCCUUCUCAAAGUCAGUAGCUGUUGCUUUCUUAUUCUUUCAGUCCCUUGAAACUCUUUCUUUAGCUUAUCCCAGGCUUGCUUUGGUGGCUCACAAAUUAUGAUUCUUGUGAAAAUCACAUCAGACAUACUGUUUUGAAUGCAAGACAUAGCCUUGUGUCUCUUAGUUCAUUCAUUUGCAUGCUGCCUGAUCUAAGCCAUUAUAGGAUUGGCUCUUAGAGGUGCUAGUUCAAAAUCUGAGUUAACAACUUCCCACAAGUCAAAUGCCUGCAGGAAGGUAUUCGUUUCACUACCUAAAUGUGGUAGCUUUCACCAUUGAACACUGGUGGUAGAGCUGGUGAGAAUCUAGAUGAAGACAUGGUUCUUGAACUUGAAGAAUGAUAGGUCCAUUGAGAAACAUGCUCUAGAUACCAACUGUUGGAACAAUGAACAAAGAUAAAGGAAACAAAACAAUUUCUUGAGCUUUAAGGCUCGAGACUUGCAGAACAAACAAUAACUGAAUCAAACAAUUAAGAACCAAAUGAAACUAAGAUUGAGAAAGUAUUGAAUGAAAAAUUCUUAGAGGAAUUUUUAUUAACUAAAACAAUGACAUAAUGCCAAUACAGAUGCCAGACAUGAGCUGGUCAAGGAAAAUAAUUUGAUUACCUAAACAUCACCUACUACCACUAAGUAACCUUGAAACUAAUAAAACAUAACUUGCACACUUAGUAAAGUUGUUUUAUCAGUUGUUUUAUCAGCUCAAACAUUGACAAAAUUUCAUCAAGUACAGUGACAACUUGGUUCAAAUCAAACUAAGUUACAAAAUGUUGAUCAAAGUAACAAAACUAAGCUAAAACAGCAGCACCAUCUUCAGCUGCAACAUGCAUGGCUCGGGCAAUUUCUAGUGCUUCAUGUUAGCAUGCUGGCUAGCUUCAACGUAAAUAUAUAAAAUAAGAAUUGAAAGGAAAACUUAAAGUUAAAUACUAAUAAACAAUAAGAAUUUAAGAGAAGUUUUAAAUUAAAUACUAAUAGACAAUAAAUAAUAAAAUAAUAAUAGAAAAAAGAAAACUAAUCUUCCUUUAUUUUAAUUUGUUGGUGUAUAAGAAGGAGAUAAUUGUGGAAGACCUUCACAAAGGUCAUUUGAGAUCAAAGGAGAAGAAGCAAGAAAACAAAAGGUUAGGAGUUUGAAGAAGAAAGAACCAAAUAUAUAGAGGAGAAUUGAAGUGAGAGGUAGAUGGGUUUUAUUUAAAGAUUUAAUGCUUUUUUUUUAAUUUCAUAUAUAGAAAAAAUCAUUGAAAGAAAAAAAAGUUCAAUAUAAUUAUUUAAAUUUACUUGUCGGGUUUUUAUAAAAGUAACUCAAAUUUUUGAUUAAUUAUGAAAAUGACUCAAUUUAAAAAUUAUGUACAUAAAUUAUUCGAUUUCUAUAGUGUUUUUCAGUGCCGCCAGACACAAUGGCUGCACCGACCUACCAUCAUUCACUAAUGAUUGUAUUUUAUUUAAAAAUAAUAGUUUUUUAGUAGUGCCGUUGGAAAAACUGGCGGUAUCAAACUGAAGUGUGAUUAUAUAAAAUGUUCAUAGGCUUGACGAAGUAAUUACCCUUUUUUAAUUAGCGGAAAAAGGGGUCUUCGUGUGAAUAUGGGGCACCAAAUUAAAUGCUCUUCAUCUUUUGGUCUAUUUGCAUAUUAGGUCUAUCCCCUUUUAAAAUUAAAUUUAAAUAACACUUAAGAAAUACAAGAAUAACAAAAAUAAACCAUUCUCAUUUUUUUUAUUUUUUUUAUAAAAUUCUUAUUUAAGUUACCCAAAUAUACCCCUCACACAAUUUCCUCAAGUUUAUCUAAAUUCAAGCAUUCUCAAUUCAUUCCCUAGUAUAUUUAAAUUUAGAUAAACUUAAGGAAAUUUUUUGAGGAAUAUAUUUGGGUAAUUUGAAUAAGAAGUGCUAUUUAAAUCUAAUUUUAAAAGAGGACAAAUGUAACAUGAAAAUAGGUCAAAAGUUGAAAAACAUUUAAUUUGGUUCAGAUACGAACGACAACCCUUUUUCAACCAAUCUAAAAAUGUUAACCGCUUCAAAGGAUCCCUGCACAUUUUAUAUAGCCACAUUCAGUCUGGUGCCGUCAAUUUAUUAGGCAACACCACUACAAUUUUUUUAAAAAAGCAAUCAUUGGCUGAUGAUGGGGGCCGAUGCAGUAAGCACUAUAGAAAUCAAGUCAUUUACGAACAUGAUUUUUAAGUUGGAUCAUUUUCGUAAUUAACCAAAAAAAUUUGGUUACUUUUAACUGUCUAGUUGAUGUGUGAAUAUUAACCUUUGGAUCAGUUUAUAAAUCUUCAUACUCAUCUACUCAUUUUGAUUGUCUUUCAAAGUACAGAAGGAAGAGUGAUACUAUCUUAUAAUGAUAUUUAUGUCAACAGGUUGUCAUUCCUAGUCUGGAGCGUCUGGAUUUGUCCUCUAUCAACAUUCAUAAGAUAUGGCACCACUCAUCCUCCCCAUCUAUGGGAUACCUAAAUUUCUUGAAGGUGAAGAGGUGUCACAAUUUGAAAUACAUGCUCCCGUCUUUUUUAGCAAAAGAUCUUGUGCAACUCCGAUUCCUUCGAAUUUUGGACUGUAAUAUGAUGGAACAAGUAAUAUUCACGGAUGGAUUGGUUGAGGAACAUCAAGGGAGGAAUCAGAUGUUUUUCUCUAACUAGAAUUGCUGUGGCUAAAACACCUUCCCAAACUCACAAGUUUGUCCUUUGAAAAUUACUUUGAAUUUCACUGUUUGGAAUAUUUAGUACUAACAAAUUGUCCAUUGCUAAAAACCACUAAAUGUGUAUCCGAAGAUGAACCUGAAAUUGGCCAACAUGUACAAGCAAGUAACUUGGAGGUUCAUAACUCAUCUCUCCUCAAUGAGAAGGUCAUUUCUUCACAGAUUCUCCUUUUAAUUUAUGUUACUUUGAUUGAUCUUAUUCAUUUGAAGUUCUUUCUUUUUCAUACAUAUUUCAGUUAUUAACCUAAUGAAAUGAUUUAUUAGGUUGUUUUCCCUAGUUUGAAGAGGCUGCAGAUUCAAAAUUGUGAUUUGUUAGAAGAAAUUAUUGAGCUGCAAGGACUCAUUGCUGAUGAGUCACAGUCAACAUCAGCUGCUCAAUCUAUUGUGACUGAAACAGUGAUGACCAAGUUUUUAUUUCCCGAACUAAUAUACCUUAGAUUGUGUAAGGUGCCAUGAUUGAAAAGUUUCUACUCUAGGAUGCAUACCACCCAGUGGCCUUCAUUGAAACAAAUGGACAUUAUUGAAUGCC